CAAAUGGCCCCAAAUUGGCCCUAUGGGACCCUAUGGGACCCCAAAGUGACCCUAAAUGGCUUCAAAUGGACCCCAAAUGGCCCUAAAUGGCCACAAAUGGCCCUAAAUGGCCCUAAAAUGGCCCUAAAUGGACCCCAAAUGACCCUAUGGGACCCUAUGGGACCCCAAAUGACCCUAUGGGACCUCAAAUGGCCCUAAAUGGCCCCAAAAUGAACCCUAAGUGACCCUAAAUGGCCCCAAAUGACUCUAUGGGACCCUAUGGGACCCCAAAUGACACUAAAUGGCCCCAAAUUGGCCCUAAAUGACCCAAAAUGAUCCCAAAUGGCCCUUAAUGGUCCCAAAUUGGCCCUAUGGGACCCUAUGGGAAUCCAAAGUGACCCCAAAUGGCCCUAAAUGACCCUAUGGGAUCCUAUGGGACCCCAAAGUGUCCCCAAAGUGACCCUAAAUGGCCCUAAAUGGCCCCAAAAUGAUCCCAAAUGGCCCUAAAUGGUCCCAAAUUGACCCUAUGGGACCCUAUGGGACCCCAAAGUGACCCUAAAUGGCUUCAAAUGGACCCCAAAUGGCCCUAAAUGGCCCUAAAUGGCACCAAAUGACCCCAAAUGGCCCUAUGGGACCCCAAAUUGGCCCUAAAUGGCCCUAAAGUGACCCCAAAUGGCCCUAUGGGACCCUAUGGGACCCCAAAGUGACCCUAAAUGGCUUCAAAUGGACCCUAAAUGGCCCUAAAUGGCCCCAAACUGGCCCUAAAUGGCCCUAAAUGGCCACAAAUGGCCCCAGAAUGAUCCCAAAUGGCCCUAAAUGGCCCCAAAUUGGCCCUAUGGGAUCCUAUGGGAACCCAAAGUGACCCUAAAUGGCCCUAAAUGGCCUAAAAUGGCCCCAAAAUGAACCCUAAGUGACCCCAAAUGGCCCCAAAUGACCCUAUGGGACCCUAUGGGAACCCAAAUGGCCCUAAAUGGCCCUAAAUGGCCUCAAAAUGAUCCCAAAUGGCCCUAAAUGGCCCUAAAUGACCCUAUGGGACCCUAUGGGACCCCAAAGUGUCCCCAAAGUGACCUAAAAUGGCCCUAAAUGGCCCCAAAUUGACCCUAUGGGAACCUAUGGGACC
rnacentral:lncRNA from 1 species